rnacentral:rRNA from 1 species
UACGUAGGGCGCAAGCGUUGUCCGGAAUUAUUGGGCGUAAAGAGCGUGUAGGCGGUCCGGUAAGUCCGCUGUGAAAGUCCAGGGCUCAACCCUGGAAUGCCGGUGGAUACUGCCGGGCUAGAGUCCGGAAGAGGCGAGUGGAAUUCCUGGUGUAGCGGUGAAAUGCGCAGAUAUCAGGAGGAACACCGAUGGCGAAGGCAGCUCGCUGGGACGGUACUGACGCUGAGACGCGAAAGCGUGGGGAGCAAACAGG